GUGCAUUGCAGUGCCAGGCAGGAUAACACCACUAAGGUUAAACGACAAGGCUCUGGCUGCAGUGUAUUGCAGUGCCAGGCAGGAUAACACCACUAGGUUAAACGACAAGGCUCUGGCUGCAGUGCAUUGCAGUGCCAGGCAGGAUAACACCACUAAGGUUAAACGACAAGGCUCUGGCAGCAGUGUAUUGCAGUGCCAGGCAGGAUAACACCAC